CUUCAGGAGGGAGAGAGAGGGGAGCAGACUGAGCAUGCUCACUCUGCUCCCCUCUCUCUCUCUCCUUCAGGAGGGAGAGGGGAGCCGACUGAGCAUGCUCAGUCUGCUCCCCUCUCUCUCUCUCCUUCAG